AAAUUGAAGAGUUUGAUCAUGGCUCAGAUUGAACGCUGGCGGCAGGCCUAACACAUGCAAGUCGAGCGGUAGCACAGAGAGCUUGCUCUCGGGUGACGAGCGGCGGACGGGUGAGUAAUGUCUGGGAAACUGCCUGAUGGAGGGGGAUAACUACUGGAAACGGUAGCUAAUACCGCAUAAUGUCGCAAGACCAAAGUGGGGGACCUUCGGGCCUCAUGCCAUCAGAUGUGCCCAGAUGGGAUUAGCUAGUAGGUGGGGUAACGGCUCACCUAGGCGACGAUCCCUAGCUGGUCUGAGAGGAUGACCAGCCACACUGGAACUGAGACACGGUCCAGACUCCUACGGGAGGCAGCAGUGGGGAAUAUUGCACAAUGGGCGCAAGCCUGAUGCAGCCAUGCCGCGUGUGUGAAGAAGGCCUUCGGGUUGUAAAGCACUUUCAGCGGGGAGGAAGGCGUUAAGGUUAAUAACCUUGGCGAUUGACGUUACCCGCAGAAGAAGCACCGGCUAACUCCGUGCCAGCAGCCGCGGUAAUACGGAGGGUGCAAGCGUUAAUCGGAAUUACUGGGCGUAAAGCGCACGCAGGCGGUCUGUCAAGUCGGAUGUGAAAUCCCCGGGCUCAACCUGGGAACUGCAUUCGAAACUGGCAGGCUAGAGUCUUGUAGAGGGGGGUAGAAUUCCAGGUGUAGCGGUGAAAUGCGUAGAGAUCUGGAGGAAUACCGGUGGCGAAGGCGGCCCCCUGGACAAAGACUGACGCUCAGGUGCGAAAGCGUGGGGAGCAAACAGGAUUAGAUACCCUGGUAGUCCACGCCGUAAACGAUGUCGAUUUGGAGGUUGUGCCCUUGAGGCGUGGCUUCCGGAGCUAACGCGUUAAAUCGACCGCCUGGGGAGUACGGCCGCAAGGUUAAAACUCAAAUGAAUUGACGGGGGCCCGCACAAGCGGUGGAGCAUGUGGUUUAAUUCGAUGCAACGCGAAGAACCUUACCUGGUCUUGACAUCCACAGAACUUUCCAGAGAUGGAUUGGUGCCUUCGGGAACUGUGAGACAGGUGCUGCAUGGCUGUCGUCAGCUCGUGUUGUGAAAUGUUGGGUUAAGUCCCGCAACGAGCGCAACCCUUAUCCUUUGUUGCCAGCGGUCCGGCCGGGAACUCAAAGGAGACUGCCAGUGAUAAACUGGAGGAAGGUGGGGAUGACGUCAAGUCAUCAUGGCCCUUACGACCAGGGCUACACACGUGCUACAAUGGCAUAUACAAAGAGAAGCGACCUCGCGAGAGCAAGCGGACCUCAUAAAGUAUGUCGUAGUCCGGAUUGGAGUCUGCAACUCGACUCCAUGAAGUCGGAAUCGCUAGUAAUCGUAGAUCAGAAUGCUACGGUGAAUACGUUCCCGGGCCUUGUACACACCGCCCGUCACACCAUGGGAGUGGGUUGCAAAAGAAGUAGGUAGCUUAACCUUCGGGAGGGCGCUUACCACUUUGUGAUUCAUGACUGGGGUGAAGUCGUAACAAGGUAACCGUAGGGGAACCUGCGGUUGGA
rnacentral:rRNA from 1 species